GAUGAAGAACGUAGCGAAAUGCGAUAAGUAAUGCGAAUUGCAGAAUUUCCGUGAGUCAUCGAAUCUUUGAACGCACAUUGCGCCCACUGGUAUUCCGGUGGGCAUGCCUGUUCGAGCGUCAUUAUCCUCCCUCAAACCCCGUGUUUGGUGUUGGACCCAAGUUGUGUGAACAACUGGUCUUAAAGACAAUGACGGCGUCCGUGGGACCCUCGGUGCAACGAGCUUUUAGGAGCACGCAUCGAGUUGCAAGGACCUUCCGGGCCGGUCUCCUUUACUAUUUUACAAGGUUGACCUCGGAUCAGGUAGGAAUACCCGCUGAACUUAAGCAUAUCAAUAAGCGGAGGA
rnacentral:misc_RNA from 1 species